rnacentral:rRNA from 1 species
GACGUAGGGGGCCAGCGUUGUUCGGAAUUACUGGGUGUAAAGGGUUCGUAGGCGGUGCGGCAAGUUGGGAGUGAAAUCUCUGGGCUCAACCCAGAGGCUGCUUCCAAAACUGCUGUGCUUGAGUGUGAGAGAGGCUCGUGGAAUUGCAGGUGUAGCGGUGAAAUGCGUAGAUAUUGGGAAGAACACCGGUGGCGAAGGCGGCUAUCUGGACCGACAUUGACGCUGAGGCGCGAAAGCGUGGGGAGCAAACAGG